rnacentral:lncRNA from 1 species
GGCCAUUGAAGCAGUAAAACUUGGAUCAGAAAAACCGGGUACGGUAACCGACCCAUGAAAACAAAAGCAAGUAGCUAGCUAGCUAGGGUUUCUUUCACUAUAAACAGACAUUCCUAAUUGAAUUCCCUUCACUUGCUUUCGGAAGUCCAGUCGUCGUCACCAUGAGAGCCAAGUGGAAGAAGAAGAGAAUGAGGAGGUUGAAGAGGAAGCGCCGAAAGAUGAGACAACGAUCCAAGUAGAUGAUGAUGCUUUCAUGUCGGUGUUGAUUUACCCUUUUCGUUUAUGUUUUGAUACUCGCUUAUCUUCUACGAAUUAUGUAGUGCUAUUUGGUUAUGGAGUUUUCUCUGUUUGCUUACUAUAUCAGCUCUUCUUCACAUUAAUUGUCUCAAAUGUUAUUGAUGUUUUAUCUCUAACGGGUCAUAUAUCGGUCCCCCUAGUAAAAUACCACUGUUGUCAGAUAUCGGUACUGAUAUUAUUGGUGAUAUAUCACCGAUAUUUGACCAAUAUAUCAAUGAAUUAUUAGUGUUAAAUUGCUAUAUAUAU